GGGGUUGUGGCUCAGAGGUAGAGCACUUGCCUAGCAUGUAUGAGGCACUGGGUUUGAUCCUCAGCACCACA
rnacentral:tRNA from 1 species